GGAUGUGGCUCAGUGGUAGAGCGCUGGCCUGGAAAGCAUGAGGCCCUGGGUUCAAUCACCAGCACCA
rnacentral:tRNA from 1 species